rnacentral:rRNA from 1 species
GAUGAACGCUGGCGGCGUGCCUAAUACAUGCAAGUCGAGCGAACGGACGAGAAGCUUGCUUCUCUUAUGUUAGCGGCGGACGGGUGAGUAACACGUGGAUAACCUACCUAUAAGACUGGGAUAACUUCGGGAAACCGGAGCUAAUACCGGAUAAUAUUUUGAACCGCAUGGUUCAAAAGUGAAAGACGGUCUUGCUGUCACUUAUAGAUGGAUCCGCGCUGCAUUAGCUAGUUGGUAAGGUAACGGCUUACCAAGGCAACGAUGCAUAGCCGACCUGAGAGGGUGUUCGGCAACACUGGAACUGAGACACGGUCAAGACUCCUACGGGAGGCAGCAGUAGGGAAUCUUCGGCAAUGGGCGAAAGCAUGACGGAGAAACGCCGCGUGAGUGAUGAAGGUCUUCGGAUCGUAAAACUCUGUUAUUAGGGAAGAACAUAUGUGGAAGUAACUGUGCACAUCUUGACGGUACCUAAUCAGAAAGCCACGGCUAACUACGUG